AGAUUUAUGAUCAGUUAUUUUUAAGUAUCUUGUAAUCUGUACAAAGUAAUUAUCCAUAAACGAAUAUAGGUUGGCUUGAUUUAAAAAUUCUGAGGAAAUACUAGCCGUCUUUAAUAAUUUCUAUGAAGUGUAUUAGAUAAAAGAUGUGACAACAAAAGUUAUUCUAAUUUUGUAGGAAUUUUAACUUGAAAAUUUUUGGAUUGUUACAGAGGAAAGUGAACAAGUAAAAAUCAUUCUGACAAAUGACAAUUUGAAGCUGAAUGCUGUUGUUAGCUUGGUAUUCGCUGCACUGACUCUGUGCCUCCUCUGCAGUAGUUACAGUGAGGUACAGAAACUUGCAUCUACUUUAUAAUGAACACAGACAUAUAUACCAAAGUGAGUUCCUGCCAACAGCUGAAUUACAUGUCACUGUUCACCUGAACACUUGUUAACUAAAGCUCUCUCAGAAAAAGAAACACAACAAAAUACUACCUUUUUUAAAAAGAUGGCAAAAUUAAGUUUAGAAAGGUUUAGUAAUGCUUUCUUCUAAAACAAGGCAUUUCAGAAUUCCAUUAUCAGAAAACUGAAGUGUUGGUAGAACUUAUACAAAGAUUAUAUACAAAGAAUUAUACAAAGAUUAACAUUUGUAUUUUGUUCAAAGAACAAGAUAAGAUAGCAGGACUUAUUCUCUGAUAUCUACAACUUAUAAGUAAAAUCUUUAUUUAAAAUUUUGUGUUACAUUAUAUAUUACGUAUAAUUUGUAUUUUGUAGCUGCAUGGCUCAGGAGUGGUAUCCAUUUAGUUAUGUUGCUGAAAGUAUAAUUUUUGAAUGCAUCAAGAAUUAAGCUUCUAGAAAGUUCUGCAUACCUAAUUGCUUCUGGGGUCCAUAGUAUGACAAGUGUAACAAUUUUGAAGUGGUUUACACUUGAAUUGCAGACGUCACAGAAAAAGACUGCUUUCAGUCCCUGUACAACACUUAAUGAAGCUAUAAGAUGAAUGAGCCACUCAGCCUCCAUCCACUUGUGGGGCAGUUUAAAUAAAAAAGUCUGGCACUGCUUUCUACUCCUAUUUUACACUGAUAGAAAAAAGACUAGCAGAUGAGGAUCUACUUCUGAGUGACUUGUGAGUUAUCACUUAAUUUGUCUCCUUACUAUUAUAGUAAUCAUGCCACUUGUUAGGAGGAGAACACCUAUUUGACUGUUCAGAUUACACAUGAACUUAAACUGAGUUUAAUGAGUUAUUUAUGGAAAUCUCCAAGAAAUAGGUUUGGACUCACAAUGCAUUUAUAGACAAAAAGACCUGCUCUUUUUCUGUUGCUUGCUUGAUCAUUGGGACUUUAAAAAAUGAUGCAUGUCUUUUUUAAUUAAUUGGGUGAUGUUUUUCUAAAAUUAAAAUUUUCUUCUUCCUAUAGCCCUGCCAUAGGACAGGCUGAGGCUGAGUCUCAGUGUUGCCCUGUUCAGUCUGAGCAGCAGAAUUUCAGCAUUUGCUACUUACUGGUAGAGAAGAAAAACCCCACAGCCCUGCCAGUACAGUUUAUAAGAAUGGCGUAGAUACAGUGGAAAUGGUUUUCCUUAAAACCAUCUCUUUAAGAGCUGCCUUUCUGGUGGUGGCAUCCGCUCUGCAGGCAGAGACCAGUCAUCGCUGAGUUUCAGGACAACCAGGGCUGUAUAGAGGAGUCUCCCCAAAGUGAAGGAAUGUGUCCUGCGUUUGUUGGAAUCAGUUGAGGUUCCCAGUGUGUGUCCUGGCUCACAACCACCGCUCCUUCAGGAUCUGACACCUUGAACUUUUGUGCUCAUAUACUUAAAACACAUGCAUACAAUUAAGAAAUACAUAUGUUUUAAAGAUCAAAGAUUACCUUUUUUGCCCCAGUGCUCAUUUCUCACUGCUAGGUUAAGGAAAUAAUAGAUUUAGUACUCUCUUCUCGAGUACUUGAACUGUAUAAAUCAUUCCAACCUUGCAUUACAAAUGCAGAUUUUUAGCAUUUGUUUACCUGGGAAGAUUAACUUACAAAAAUAUUUUACUGUCUUGUUUAGUGACGAGUUUGUAACAUAAGGAUUUUUCCCUGUAGUUUUUAAGCUAGAUUUUUAGAUAAUGCAGGCAUAUUUGUAUAUACAUUGUAUUUCUUCUAUGAUUUUUGUGAAUAAAUCUACCUUUUUCCUCCUUAGUAUAGACAAUAUUUGUUUUCUAAAAUCUGAAAUGUGUAAUCUGAGUGUGUGUGGUAAUGUAUUCUAGGUGAGCUCUCAACAAAGUUUUGAGCCUAAAUUUGUGUCUUUAGAUUAUAGUGAAAUAAAUUUCUAAGGAACUCUGUCCUUUCCUAGCAUGGAUAAACAGACAGUGACAGUUGGUAAGUAUGUAACUUUAAAUGCAUGUAGUAGUGGUAAAGUUGAGCUACCAAACUAUUCCAAGACAGUUAGAAGUGAGUCCUUCUAGGACUUUAUAUGUAUAUCUGACAUUUUCUCCAAAUCUAUGUACUCAUGAUUAAACUGAAAUGCACCUUACUUGUCUGAUUUGUUUUUUGUUGUUCAUUUUGUUUUUAGAAGAAUUUUGUAUGGUAGUUUAAAAAUCUAAUUUUAUAUUUAAAACUUUCCUUGGUGUAUCAGUACGUGGCUCUUCUGACAACCCAAUAUUGAUCCGAAGUUUACUUCAAACACUUUGGUUUCCAUUUAUAACUAAGCAAAAUAUAGUGGCAAAAGAGAGGACUACUCUAAUUUUAGUCUAUAAUAGGAAAUCAGUGCAGAAUUACGCUUUAUUUUUAUUUAUGUGUCUGUGGUGCACCCACAUGCAGUUUUCUCCUGAGGCCAGAAGAUUGUCUGAUUGUUAGAGUGGAGUAGAGCUUCAGACACUGGUAACCCACCCCUGAGCAGUACCCAUUCAUCCUUGGCCAGUUCGGGUCAGUGUUGGAAUUUGGUGGUGGGAAGAAGGCUUUCUUAUUUUUUAUGAUUGCGGCCCCCCAAUUGUGAGAAUUAUUUCAGGGGGUAGAUCGGAGGACAACUUCUUUACAGUUUGUGUUCGUAUGUGGUUUCUAGGGAGACAUCUCAACCACCCUCUGGUGUUCUGUUGGUAACAGAAGUAUGACAGGUAAAAUGAAAAGCAUUUUAAUUUUAUUUCUGAGACAUAAGUCAUUUAUUUACAGCAUUGUUUUCUGAAAAGUUAAAGAAGUGGGUAUGCAUGUCUUUAAUUUAGUCUCCAGGUUUACUCCUAACAAGUGUCAGUUGGAUUUGGAGGAAAUGAAGAGCCAAAUCCUGUGGGGAUGUGAUUGUAUGGAGGGUCUGAGUAUAGCAGCAGGAGGAAGAAUAAACUUGCAGCCUGUGUGCUAUUAAAUGGUACAGGAGCAGAGAUCGUGACGAAUGUUACUUUAUAACUAUGUCUGCUAAAGAUAAUUAUAUGCUAGCCUUUAAUUCAUUAACAUUGGAACCUUGUGAUACAUGAAUUUUGGUCGAGUUUAUUUAAAAAUAAAAAUUUCCCACACAAAUAAUAGUGUAUGUGAUACUUUGAUGUGUCUGUCUCCUGGCUCAGGAACAUUAAAGUGUGUUCUUCCCCAAUUCAAAUACUUUGCUGGCCUGGAACUCCCAGAAAUCCUUCUGCCUUUUGUCUCUCCAAUGGUGCGAUUAAAGGUGUGCACCACUGAACUGGGCAUAAAUUUGGUUCUUUUCAUCCUCUCUAGUUCCUG
ensembl:lncRNA